rnacentral:rRNA from 1 species
GACGAACGCUGGCGGCGUGCCUAAUACAUGCAAGUCGAACGCACUCUCGUUUAGAUUGAAGGAGCUUGCUCCUGAUUGAUAAACAUCUGAGUGAGUGGCGGACGGGUGAGUAACACGUGGGUAACCUGCCCUAAAGUGGGGGAUAACAUUUGGAAACAGAUGCUAAUACCGCAUAAAACCUAAACACCGCAUGGUGUAGGGUUGAAAGAUGGUUUCGGCUAUCACUUUAGGAUGGACCCGCGGUGCAUUAGUUAGUUGUGAGGUAAAGGCUCACCAAGACCGUGAUGCAUAGCCGACCUGAGAGGGUAAUCGGCCACACUGGGACUGAGACACGGCCCAGACUCCUACGGAGGCAGCAGUAGGGAAUCUUCCACAAUGG